UGUGAUCCGUCCACUCGGAAAACUGACGAUGAAAAUACAUCUACUGGAGAGAUAUCGACGAGUAAAUCUUUGAGUCCCGAUUCAAAAUCAAAGCGUAAACAUUACUCCAGUGGAAGAAGUCUUUCGUAUGACGUGAGUCCGACCUCUCUGGGGAACAUUGGCGUCAAACAUUUGGCUGUUCAGCUGCCCAACACUACACCCGGCCAAUAUGAAAAUAUGACAGUACUAGAGCUUUCCGAGGCUCUAUCACAACGCACUAUCGACGUGAAUCGCACAGUAUCUCUACUAGAGAUACUGCAGAGUAUACUAGAGAAGAACACGCCCGGGAACAGUCUACGGGAGUUGGUGCUGCGCGCGUUGUACACUCAUGUGGACAGCGAGGACGAACGCGUGCUGGUGGCUAUAGCACGGGCUAUGCUGACGAUGAGAGUAACUGGACCGCACUUGGCCGCCGCUUGCAAGCUUGUGUUCAAAAUCGCCAGAAACGACAAGAAUGACCAUUUCUUCCACAACACUAAUUUACUUGAGUUACUGGUGGAGGGAUGCGGGCGAGCAGACCCGGUGUCGGAGGGCGAGUGCUGCGUGUACGGGCGCGCUGCGCUUCCUCGCCCUCGACCCCGCGCUGUGUGCGCUCGCGCACCGCGCCGGCGCCGUGCAUCUCGCCGCGCUGCAUCUUGUAAGAUACUCAACACUGCGAAGGCAGAAAAUCCGCGGUCGGUAUCAGAACAGUCGACGCACGCGCUGUACCAGCUGACGGGCGCGUUGCGGAACCUGGCGAGCGCCGGGGCGAGCGACUCGCGCGAGUUCGUCGCGAGCGGCGCGCUCGGCGAGCUGCUCGCCGCGCUGCAGCACCACACCGACAGGGACGUGCUCACUAACGUGGCGCGGUGUCUCAGCGUGCUGUCAGCCGAAGCGGAGUGCUGCGCGUGGCUGUGCGCGAGCCCGCGCGGCGCGGGGGUGCUGCUCCGCGCGCUGGCCGCGUGCGCGCCGCGCGCGCCGCUCGCCGUGCGGCUCGCCUACACGCUCGGCAACAUGGCCGCGGAACACCACCACGCGAGACUCAAUAUUUACAACGAGCCCGGCGGCAUCGACGUCCUGCUGACGAUACUAGAGUCGUACACGAAACGCAACGACAACGACGCUAGGGAUGCGGAUUCAGAUCCCGACCUGCAUUCAGUUGGUUCCGACUUGGGUGAUUCAGACGGAUCUAACGAAGAUGUCCUGAUUAAGACGGUGCGCGUGGUGGCCAACCUGUGCCUGGCGGAGGUCGCGGGGCGCGGGCUGGCGAGCGCGCACGCCGCGCGGGUCGCGGCCGCGCUGCUCGGCUGUCUGCGUCUCGCGGAAGCACCGCCGCACACGGAGUUGACUGACGAGCAACAGUCCAGCUGGUCGGAGCGUCGCAGCGAGCUCGCGACUGCCGCCCUCGCCACCUUAAACAACAUCACGUUCUACCGAGACCCAUCGGACAUUCCGGACCCACUCGAGGAUACCAUCGAUAAGAUAUGUAAAGCGACGUGUCGGUGGUUGUGUGCGGGUGCGGCGGGUGCGGGGGGUGCGGGGCGCGGCGCGGCGGCGUGCGAGGCGGUGCGCGCGCUCGGCAACCUGUCGCGCUCGCCGCGCGCCGCGCAGCGCCUCGAGCUCGACGGCGCGCUGCACGAGCUCGAACCGUUCCUGCAACAUGAUGACUGGAGCGUGCGUUGCGGCGCGGCGGGCGUGCUCGUGAACGUGUGCGGCGCGGGGGCCAACGUGUCGCGCGGCGCGGCGCUUCGCGGCCGCCGCGCUCACCGGCGCCGCCGCCGCGCGGACCACCACCUCGCCGCGUUACUCACGCGCGCCCUGUGGAAUGCGCACGCGCACACAGCGCUUGCACUGCAAACUGCGCACCAAGCUGCGGUGGCGCUUGCUGCGUUUAUCGACGAUGAAUCGGUAUUCGCAGCGUGUGAAGCGUCUAAGAUCGGCGACCGGCGAGCGAGCGACCCGGCGCUUUUUAAACAUCAUGUAAAAUUCGAUACAGAUAACAAAAACUAUUCAGACACAGCCAAAGACUUGGCCAAAGGGUUUGGUAGAGCUCUGAGUGUAGACGAAGACUUGCAUCUUGAUAGUCACGAUUAUUCAGGCGAGGAUCUUGGCUUCGAGGACGGGGAUUUGGAGGAGGAAUGCGAAUGUGAACCUUGUAAGAGACUAGCCGACUGGGAAGAGUUGGUGGGAGUUGCAAUACCUUUGUUGGAGAAGUUAAAGCCGCCGAAAGCAGAUGCUUCUGUCGGAACUGAAUGAUUUUAGUUGUGAUUGAAUUAAGGAGUGCUUAUGGCUGUCACGAUUCUGGUGAUUUAGCAUAUAACUUCCCUGUUCAAAAUUGUAUUAACACUAAAUACAAUGUAAUUGUCAUCAGAGAUAGUGUUGGCAUUAUCGUUCCAGCAUUAAAAGGAAUUUAAUCAGUAUUCUAUGAAAUAUACUAAUUCCGGCCUUGUUGGCGCGGCGAGUUCACUAGUUAUGAAUUGCGACUCCGCCCGCGUGAAAAAAUUCCGGGAUAAAAGUCCCGCUUUAUAUUUUCCUGGUAUGAAAUAGCCUACGUUUUGGGUUAGAGCUCUAGCAAUAUGCCGAUGCAAAUUGUGCUCAAUUCUAUGCAGUAGUUUUUGCGUGAUGCCUGUACAAACAUACGGACAGACAAAUAUUUUAAAGAAAGUAGAGACCCACCCAUAUUAGUUUUACUUCUAUAUCUAUAAUGUAGAUACAUUGGCCUAUUAUUAUUUUAUUAUAUGUAUCUUACGAUAUUUGCUUUCAACCGGCAUUAUAAAGUAUGAAUGAGAGUUAAUCGGCCUGUUCUAUUUUGACCUCGCUUUACUGCGGAACGUAUAUUUGUUAUUAUUAAUGAAAUGCUGUAUUGACAACUUAAUAAUUAUGUAGAUAUGACGUGUAGAGAAGUAAA